UACGUAGGGGGCUAGCGUUAUCCGGAAUUACUGGGCGUAAAGGGUGCGUAGGUGGUUUCUUAAGUCAGAGGUGAAAGGCUACGGCUCAACCGUAGUAAGCCUUUGAAACUGAGAAACUUGAGUGCAGGAGAGGAGAGUAGAAUUCCUAGUGUAGCGGUGAAAUGCGUAGAUAUUAGGAGGAAUACCAGUUGCGAAGGCGGCUCUCUGGACUGUAACUGACACUGAGGCACGAAGCGUGGGAGCAACAGGAUUAGAUACCCUGGUAGUCCCUGA
rnacentral:rRNA from 1 species